rnacentral:rRNA from 1 species
GAUGAACGCUAGCGGCAGGCUUAAUACAUGCAAGUCGAGGGGCAGCAGGUCUGUAGCAAUACAGAUGCUGGCGACCGGCAAACGGGUGCGUAACACGUACGCAACCUUCCCGUUACUGGGGAAUAGCCCAGGGAAACUUGGAUUAAUACCCCAUAUUAUAUUGGUUGGGCAUCCGACUGAUAUCAAAGUUUUAACGGUAACGGAUGGGCGUGCGGUUGAUUAGGUAGUUGGCGGGGUAACGGCCCACCAAGCCUACGAUCAAUAGCUGAUGUGAGAGCAUGAUCAGCCACACGGGCACUGAGACACGGGCCCGACUCCUACGGGAGGCAGCAGUAAGGAAUAUUGGGCAAUGGACGCAAGUCUGACCCAGCCAUGCCGCGUGAAGGAUGAAGGUCCUCUGGAUUGUAAACUCCUUUUAUCUGGGGCGAAAAUCGGGUAUUCUUAUCCGCUUGACAGUACCAGAGGAAUAAGCACCGGCUAACUCCGUGCCAGCCGCCGCGGUAAAAC